UACGAAGGGUGCAAGCGUUACUCGGAAUUACUGGGCGUAAAGCGUGCGUAGGUGGUUUGUUAAGUCUGAUGUGAAAGCCCCGGGCUCAACCUGGGAAUUGCAUUGGAUACUGGCAGGCUAGAGUGCGGUAGAGGGUAGUGGAAUUCCCGGUGUAGCAGUGAAAUGCGUAGAGAUCGGGAGGAACACCAGUGGCGAAGGCGACUACCUGGACCAGCACUGACACUGAGGCACGAAAGCGUGGGGAGCAAACAGG
rnacentral:rRNA from 1 species